UACGAAGGGGGCUAGCGUUGCUCGGAAUUACUGGGCGUAAAGCGUGUGUAGGCGGUCUCGUAAGUCGGAUGUGAAAGCCCUGGGCUCAACCCAGGAAGUGCACUCGAAACUGCGAGGCUAGAGUAUCGGAGAGGUUGGUGGAAUUCUCGGUGUAGAGGUGAAAUUCGUAGAUAUUCGGAAGAACACCAGUGGCGAAGGCGGCUCACUGGCCCGGUACUGACGCUGAGGUGCGAAAGCGUGGGGAGCAAACAGG
rnacentral:rRNA from 1 species